AUUUCGGUAAAGGUGAGAGUGGCAAACGGGUGAGUAAACACGUAGGCAACCUGCCGACAGGAUGGGGACAACAUUCCGAAAGGAAUGCUAAUACCGAAUGGAGUCCGGGGAUGGCAUCAUCUCCGGAUAAAAGAUGGCCUCUGAAUAUGCUAUCGCCUGUCGAUGGGCCUGCGUCUGAUUAGCCAGUUGGCGGGGUAACGGCCCACCAAAGCGACGAUCAGUAGCCGGUCUGAGAGGAUGAACGGCCACAUUGGGACUGAGACACGGCCCAGACUCCUACGGGAGGCAGCAGUGGGGAAUCUUCCACAAUGGGCGAAAGCCUGAUGGAGCAACGCCGCGUGAGUGAAGAAGGUCUUUCGGAUCGUAAAGCUCUGUUGCACGGGA
rnacentral:rRNA from 1 species